ACAUCAGCAGACGACAACACCUCUUGACCCGAAACAAUUCCAAAUUGACCUAAUUCCUAUUUUUCUCAAGCCGAAUCUGUUGAUCCGCGACCGACCUAAACUCAACCCGUCAAUCACGUGCCCCUACCAUGCAAAUUCGUGCAAGGAAACCCUUGAAUCUUCCAGAAAAAGCAUGAGCUGGCUUCCGCAAUGUCCCAUUCCCACAAAUCUCGGGUUGAUUCGUAUGGUUUCGUACAUAUAUUGUGGAUUCCCAUUGGUUUUUUUAGGGAAUUAGUUUGGGUAAAAUUCUAUUGGUCCACCCAUCUCGAUGGUUCUCAAAAAUCCAAAAAUUCUUUAAAGUUUGUUGGGGGGAAAUCCUCUUGAACUCAAAUUUUGAAUCUCCUUCGAAAAUCCCUGAUUUACCCCCCAAUUUCGUCUUCUAUAUAAUGACCCUUGGGGUCAUUAUUAUAGGGGGGUUGAUUUUGGUUCAAAUAUUUUCUAAGAAAAUUUUGGCGUUCGAAACUUUAAGGGUUGGUAAUCCUUGAGUUGGGAUUUGGGGAAAAUUUGAGAGAAACUUUCGGAGAGAAAUUCUGAUUUGAAAAGUGGAAAAAUUCUGGAGGGUUUGGAAAUUCGGAAGUUGAAAAUUAGAACAGGAAAAUUUUGGGUAUGGAAAAAGGGGGAAAAAGUCUUGGGUUCGAACAAUUUGAGAGAAAAGACAAGAAAGAGAGAGAAGGAAGAAAGAAAAUUCAUGAGAAAAUACAGUCUUGAGUAGCAAUUCCGUUCUUGUUCAUUGGCUAAAUUAAAGUUUCGGGUGACGGUGAAGAAGUUUUCGGUGGUUGUGAUUCUAAAUGGAGCUCGUCGUCAUAUUUUGCUGCUUUCGAACAGGUGGAGCGAGAUUCGAGCCAAACGCUCGAAAACCAGAUUAGGACAGGUGAAAAUGGGUCAAAAAUCCAACUAGAUUAGGACAGGGUCGACGGUUUGGAUUUAGAAGCCUAAAUCACUACUUCUUCCCUUUCCUCUUUCCCUUUUGCUUACUUGUUUUACGUGCUUUGCGAACCUAGUUAAAUCCUUAGUCAAGUCGCUAAAAAACAAGUUUUGCAUAAACACCAAAAUAUUUCCAAAAUUGAUUUUGUUUUCAAAAAAUUAGUCACUUUUCGUCAAAAUUAAUCUUUUUCGAAGCUAAUCAAAAGAUGAUUUUUAAACAGUCCGGAUAACCGCAAGUUAGUGGACGUUUUAGAUGCCUAACACCUUCCUAAAACGUUAAUAGGAACCACUUACUCGGAAUCUUCAAAACUUAAAACGAUUUUUCUGUUUUGAAUCGUUUGAAGUAACUCUCUAAAGGUUUCUUAAUUCCUUUUCAAAAUUAAGUGGGGACUCUCAAAAAGUCAAAAUUUCUCCGCAAGACAGUAGUAUUUGGGUCCAUCUCUAAAUCUUGAAAAACAAGUUUGAGGCAGAUCUGUUGGUGCAGGAGACACUCCAAUUGGGUGGUUCUUGAAAUGAAUGUUACAAUAAAAAAUGCUAAGGCUUUUGAUUGCAAGAGACAUAGACAUUUUCCUAUUUUCUUUGGAGGAAGAAAUUGGGAUAAAUACUAAUGAGAGAAUUAGUAGUACGUUGGAGCAGAGACGAUGCUGUUUAUUGUGGAUAUGGGUGCCGGAGUUGGAAAAUUUGGGAUUGAACGGGAAAGGCGGGGAAAGAAGGAGAAGGGGAGGCGGGGGGUCUUUUUAUUUUCUUUUCUUAAUAUAUACAUACACACACAUAUAUAUAUAAGUGGGUCUAUUGUUUCAUAAAAACAAGACUUACGCGUCUUUUAUUUUCAUUUUUGCCACGUCAGCUUUAAGGGUCGAAUUAAUUCAGUAUAAAGUUGUUAAGGGGGUAAAUAACUAACCAUAAAGUUAAGGGUUUAAAGUAACUUAUGCGAACAAGUUUAGGAGUGAUUUGAUGUAUUUACUCUUAUUAUAACUUGUAUUUAUGAUAUUCAAUGUUCUA